GCCUGCCGCCCGGAUUCUUGGGAUCCAGUUGUCACGCCUAAUUUCGGUUCUCAAGCACCAAAAGAAGGCACAAUAAACAAGCCGAAUGGAUAAAUUUCUCCCAGGUUCUCAAUGCUAGAUGACCAUGACACCAAGAGAUGGAUACAUUUGUUUGCAUUAUCUUUGUUGCAAAAUGAUGUUGUGGCUGUGAUGAACUGUUUGCUGUGAAAGAUUAUGUUGUUAUGAUAAAUUAUGAAUGCUGGGAUUUGGGAUUCAAAGUCAUGCUGUUAUGAUAAAUUAUGUUGUUGCCGUGAUGAGAUAUUGCUUUCAAGUCAUGCAAAAUUAUGUUGUUGGGAAAA